CAGGCUCAGACCAAGCCCGGAAGUAGUUGCUGGCCGGUGCAGGGCAACCCCCAGGCGUCCCUGGAAGCGGAGGGUGGGGAGCCCAGGCCGGGGGCCGCCUCCCCCCUCUGGCGCUGCCCCAGGGAGCGGGGCGCGCCCCGGGCUGGGGCCCCGUGGAAGGUGCAGUCAGUGUGUCCCCUUAUGAAUGGACAUGGCAGGACCUGCUAUACGCAUUGGGGAUCAGCUCAUCCUAGAAGAAGAUUAUGAUGAAACGUACAUACCCAGUGAGCAAGAAAUUCAGGAGUUUGCUAGGGAGAUAGGGAUUGACCCUGAGAAUGAGCCGGAGUUGAUGUGGCUGGCCAGAGAAGGCAUUGUGGCUCCUUUACCUCCAGAGUGGAAACCAUGUCAAGAUAUCACCGGCGACAUCUAUUACUUUAACUUUUCUAAUGGCCAGUCCACAUGGGACCACCCUUGUGAUGAACAUUACAGAGAACUUGUGAUCCAGGAGCGGGAGAAGCUUUCGGCUCAUGGCAGCAUUAAAAAGAAAGACAAGAAGAAGAAAAAAGACAAGAAGGAGAAGAAAGACAAGAAGGAGAGAGAGCCAAUGAAACAUGCUGUGGAAAUGCAGCCAGAGCCAGGGAUUCUUCCUUCAACAUCCUUUUAUCGAAUGUCCUCUCCCAUCCUGCCCUCUGAGUGUGCAAGUCCUGAUCUAGAUCAGGAUAGCCAGAUUAGGAAUGAGGGUUUUCUUAAGAAAGGUAAAGGAAAGACCUCUGGGAGACCACCGGAGACAAGUGACUCAAACAGACAGUUUGCAGAGACUUCCUCAAAUAAAUUGCAGCCACUUCUCACAGCAAAGUCCAGCAGAACUCACCAGAUCUUAGCUGAUGUGGAGAAAAUUUUAGGAAGGACGCCAUCUUUUAGCAAAUCGGAUGUAGACAACCAGCAGGGCCAAGACGAGUCCCCAAAAAUUGGAGAAAAGCCUUGUCUUGGUUUUUCUGACUCGGAGUUUGAAGGUUUAGAUGUUGUUAGGACAAAGCCCAUUUCCUAUGUGUCAAAGAAAUCGUGUUCACAAGACAUUGAUUCCCCCAAUAUCCUGGAGGACAAAGGUAUGCUCUUUGUUGAGGAAAAGCUGUCUGAUAACCGGAAGGAGGAGGAAAUGACAGGAGAGUGUGUCUGUCAGCCUGAUGACUGCUUAUCAGUCAGAGAAAGAUCAACAGGGCCUGGUGGUGAUAAGGAAAGAGGCCCAGGUUUAUCACAAGCCAAUGAAAAUGAAGCUUUCUUAACCCCCAGUGCCCCUGACCAUGUUUUUUACAGCAGGAAAUGUGAAAUGAUUCUCUUUGAUGCCAGUCCCCCAGAAGACCCGAGUUUGAUGGCGGAAUUUGAUGCUCACUAUCCCCAACGUGAGCUGAGGGCACACAACAAAGCAGUCGAGAGCAGAAGGAAGAGAGAACUUCAGGAUCAGGCAUUGAGUCAAGCCACCAAACUUUGCAAGAGCAGUGAGGCUGUCGGCAAGCGUGAGAGAGAGAGCUCAAAGCAGGCAGAGUUGUUUGAAUCUGAAGGAGCUGGCCUACAUGUAGCCCAGAAAAAAGACAUAUUAGACAGCCACCUGGCAGUCCCUGAAGUGACUGCAGAAACAUUACCCUACACCAUAGGGGUAGAAGUUUGUGCUCAAGCAGGAGCUGAAAUUUCUGCGUCAGAGCCUGUUUCUCUCUGUGCUGGACAGCACAAAGAAAAGGAGAAGGCAAAUGGUUUGGGGCCUGAACCUGAUAGCAGUGUUGCAAGCAGUUCAGCUGAUCAUUUUGUAUCACAAAUUUUGGGAGAGGUCGAUAACUUCUCCUGGGAUCUCCAGAGCUCUCAUGAGUCUGACAGACGGACAGACUUGCUUGCUGCUGCUAAAAGUGCUCUACUCACUCAUCCUUUCUCAGGAACUCUCCAAGCUCAGCCACAAAGCUCAGCCAAUGAAAAGUCGCAGAGUGACUGUAACUCUAAGGAUGAGAAGUUCUAUCAGCAUGUGCAGGAAAACAAUCAAGUGCCUAGUCAGGAACAUAGUUUUGUCAGUUUUAACAUGAAACUGAAUAGGUCAUGUGAUGCCCCUGAGAAGAACAAUGAGGGCAGACAAGAAGAAACAGUAGAAGGACAGCAAAGGACAGAGCCAGUUCCUAGAGGGCUAGAGGCAGAUUUGUUCACAGAGGGUUUACAGGUUUCUCCUGGUUGGUUUUAUCGGACAGCUGAGUGCCAGGAAAGCAGCAGGCUCUGUUGGCAAGUGGAAGGAGAGUUGACCCAGAGUGGAAAAGCAACUGAGGAUUACAGCAAACUGGAGCUUUGUGAAGGAGCAGGCAGUAAUGAGUCUCCAGGUUCCCUGCUAGCACCUGUCCAAGCUCCCCCGGGGAGUCUUGCUCCUUUACGUGGUGUCGUGGAUGGUUCAGCCAGUGCCCUCCGUGGCUCGCUAAGCACCAGUGUGGAGAAUUCCGGAGUACCCAGUCUGCUGCUCAGAGAAGGAACUCUGCCUCCACAGACCCUUAAAUCCACCGGCUGCACUAAGAGCUUGCUGGGAUCCAUGCAUGAAGAAAAAGCCUCCUUAAAUCUCCUAGCUCUAGAUGAAGGGGAAAAUGAAGAGGAAGAGAGUGAGACUCAGAGUCCCCGUGGGACAGCGAGACUGCUCAAAAAUCUGCACAUGGAUGUUAGCACCCUGGGAGGUGGCUUCGAGUAUGAGGGCAGCUGCAGGGCAGCGGAAGACAAUUGUGGUACCUGGUUAGCCAGUGUUGCAGAACCUGGGCUCCAGCACCUAAGGAGUUCUAAAGAUGAAGCUGGAAGUCAGAGAGAGAAGGAGUCCUUGAAAGUGAGUCAUCCUGAAGAAAGUCAAGAGUUUCCUUGGGAUUCUGAUGGUGUGCGCCCUCCAACUCUGGACGAACUGCUUAACAGAGAUGCUGACAGCAGCCUGUGUGGCCUAAACAAAGAGGAGUCCAAUGGGAAACCCAUGGGGAAUGAACUGUUAGAAAAGGAAGAUAUUGAUGUAAAAGAUGUGGUUUCUGUAACUUACAAACAAUCAGGAGCUCCGGAGGAAAGGACAGCGGUGGGGACAGAUGUGGUCAGCAGUCAAGGGCAUCCUGUAGCUGCGUCUCCAGAUGUUAGAGCUGCUGAGACAGAUCAGAUGGAAAGUGUGGCUGUCACCAUUGACACCAUGUCUGUCAAUGAAAAGAUUGUAAAUGGAAUGAGGGAAGAAGCAGCUGAUCUGAAAACCGACAGCAAGCUGGAUGCUGGCAAAGAGUCCGAGGACAGUGAGUACAUGAAAGAAUUGCAGGUUUCUGACCGUUCGGAUCAUGAGCUGCUUCGUCUGACGGACUUUGGUUUCCAAAGUCAGAUCUCUGAGCAGAUCCUGGAUAUGGGUAUUCUUUCUGCUACUCUGGACAGCCCUAAGGUUGAGGCCCAGGGGCUGGGAGAAGAGGAAAAGGACCCAAGCAAAGCCAGCUUAGAAGAAGAGCAAAGCAAAAGAACCAAAGCUGCUGAGAGUGAGAGGGACCAGCGCCUCUUCAGUGCUUGCGAAAUGGCUGAAGAGAAGUGUUUAAGUUUAAAGAACACCAGCCAGGAAGAGACUGCUGCCCUGGAGCAAAAGGAGGGAUCGCUGGAUAGUCUGACCAAUCCGGAGGAGCCUGCAGCCCCUCACCAGGCACAACUUGGGGAGGAAGUCAAGCAAGUGGUGUCCUUGAACUGGCGUUCUGCAGAAUCCCUGGAGGAAAUAGCCAAGGAGCAGGAGCUGGAGCAAGAAAAAAUGCGUUUACUGCAUGCAAAGGAGGAGAAGUUUCAGCAAUUUCAGGAGGAGUUGAGGCAAGAGGAGGAGGAAGAAGCUCAAGUGCUUCAUCAGCAGAAAGAAAAGUCCCUCCGGUCUCUUAAAGAGGAGCUGGCGAAAGCUUCUGAGGAGGAAGAGCUGCGGAUGAGAGAGGAAGAAGUCGAGAAGCUCUCAAAGCUACGAGCCCAGAUCAGCUCAGAGACUGAGACAGAAAAGGAGAAAAUAAGGGCUGAGCAAGAGGCUGCAUUGCAAAAGCUGAGAGAGGAAUGGGAGUCCCUUCAGAAGGUGGAGAGGGAGAGCUUGGAGGAGAGGAAGAACCAUGUUUUGGAGAAGCUGAAGGUGGAAGUAGAGGAAGUGCAGCAGAGAGAAGCAACGGAGCUGGAACAGGAGAAGGAACGAGUCCUGAAUGAGUUAAAGGAGAGAUUAGAAAGAGAAAGAAAAGAGGCUGCAGAAGUGCUAGAGAAGCAGUUUGCAGCUGAGCUCCAGGAGCUAAAAUCUACAGCAGAAGAGAAACACCAAAAGGUUGUUUCCAGCCUCCGGAAGCAAAUAGCAGAAGCCCAGAGGAGUGAGGAGGCCCAGCUGCACGAGGAACUGGAGAAAGCAGAGCAAAAAGUGCAGCAAAAAACAUACCGAGUAGCAGAGUUUGAGCGAGAGCUUAGUGAACUCAUGAAAGAGAAACGCCAGGAAGUGGAGAGAGACCAUGACCGGAAAAUGGAGAGGAUGAAAGAGGAGCAUCAGGAAGUCCUGGCGAGGAUUCAGGAUCAGUAUGAGGAGGAGGAGAGAAAGCAAAGAGCCAAGAAGCUCGAGGUGCUGAAAGGGGAGCUGGAGCGCCUGAGACAGCUCCAUGAUGGGGAGCUGCGGGCUUUGCAGAAGAAGCUGGAUGAGCAGCUCAGUGACUUGCGGCAGAGCCACAAGGCGAAGGAACGAAAAGUCCAGGAGUUGGAAAUGGAACUCGAAAUGCGAGCAAAAGAUGCCAAGGCCAGAUGUGCUUAUCUGAAUCACCAGGAAGAGGCCAUGAGAAAGAAAAGGCAGCAGCUUCUGGAUGAAGAGAAACAAACUGAGCUGCAGAGAAAUGAAGCUGCUUCAGCUGCUCAGCUCCGCCUAGAGGCGUCUAGGAAAGAGCACGCUGACCUUGUGGAAUCCAUCCGCCAGUUGCGCAGGACUCUGGAGGAGCUUCAAGACCAGAAAGCUGAGCUGGAGUCCCAGGUGGAUCUGUUGCAGACCCGAAGCCAAAGGCUGCAGAAACGGAUCAAUGAACUAGAGGCUGCAGUCAAGAGCAAACAGGAGACCCUGAAGGAGCUGGUGGCCGAAGACAGCAUGGCAUCUCCCAGAAGGGAAGCUGAGCUCCACAUUGAGGACCUGAGAGACACGCUUCAAGCCCACUCCUCCAGAGAGCCUGCUUCCUUAACCUCGCACAGCAAUGAGGAUAGUGACUUCCAACUUGAUAAUGUCAGACACUACAUUUCUGCAGAAGGAGUCUCCAUAAAGAACGCCAAGGAGUUCCUGGUGCGUCAGACUCGCUCCAUGAGGAAAAGACACAUUGCACUGAAAGCUGCAAAGCAGCAGUGGCGUCACAACAUGCAGCAGGCACAGGACGCGGUGCAGGAUCCGGAUAGUUCUCAGCUCCUGGAGGAGAUGCGCCGGAACUUGGAGGAGGAAUCAGAGCAGCUGGACAAGAUGAAGUCGGCCAUGCGGAAAGGACAGGUGCUGCUGAAGAAGAAGGAAGAGAAGCUGAGCCAACUGGAGUCUUCGCUGCUGGAAGAGCUUUCUGAUGAAGAUACGCUGAAGGGUGCUGCAUGUAAAAAGGUGGUAACCUUUGACCUUAGUGAUUCAGAAGACACAAACAGCCUGAGCAGCACAGAUGUACCUCGGCACAAACUUGACUUGAAACCAGAUGUCCAGUUCCCCCAGCUCGACAAGAUCCAGCACUUGACCAACACUCUGCAGCACAUCACCGCUGAGCUGAACGGGGUCCUUGGCACCUUGGGCUCUCUGAACCGUCAGCAGCCUCCCCUUUUCACUUCUCUGCUGGUGCCGAUGCCUGCUCUGCCCAGUGAUGGAGUUCCUCUUUCCGCGUACACCUCCUUGGCAAGAGUCCAGGCUGCUGGCCCCAUCGUGCCUCCUGCUGGGAUUCCUUUGGUUAACCAGCAGGCAUGGAGUACUGGUUUGAACUCCAGCCGCUCUUCUACGGCUGGUCAGUCAGUAGACAACAUACUGGCAGAGAAAUGGCGCAAGUAUUUCCCAGGUGGGUUCCCGUCGCUCAGUGGAAGUCCUGCCCCUCUGGACAGCAAUCUAGGUUAUUUACCUGCAGGCCCUUCUGCCAGCUAGAUGACUAUCCUCUGAGCUCUUCCUGGCUGGUUCUGUGCUGCCCCUGCAUGGCUUUCCGUGUAGGAGAGCUCUUGCAUCAAAGACUUAGCUUGCCGACCAUCCCCUCGAAGCCCUGGGGCUUAUCGAGAGACAGCCUGCAUCAGAAUCGCUCGUUCCGGGUCUGAGGGCUGCAUGGUGCUGUUGCCUUGAGUGGCCAUGGAUGUGCAUCAUGGACGACUGUGAUAUGGCUGGCUGUGUGAAAGCUCUCGAAUGGCCGGUCUGUGGCUCCCUGGCUCUCGUUCACCCACCCACCACUGGCGCAAGGAGCCUUUUCUUCUGCCUCCAACUGCCCCAGCACGCCACUGCCUUGUGCUCUGCUCACCUCUGUGACCUCCGCUGCUGCUACUGCAGAGAUCAGUUGGCUGGGGCCAGCUAUGGGCUUGCUUCUGCCGCCUCCUUUCUUCCCUCGGUCAAAGCGCGGCAUGCCCAAACCAUGGCCACCUGGACUCAAGGCUGCUCUCCAGUGUCUGUCUGGUAAAGUGGUUGUUGGCAGCACCAGGGGAAAGGGAAAACACAUGGUGAUGUAUAAAACCAGCCAUGUCCUGGGAGGCAUAGAACAGGCGAAGCCUGAUUGUCUGCCUAUAAACCAGUGUCCUUGCAGAGCCCCUGGUGACUCCCACAGCAGUUGAUUUAGUGUGGUGUGUUUGUGCUCUUGCUCCCACCACUGUCAGUCGGGAAGUCAUGGUCCUGUAUGGAGCUGGCAGAAGAGAAGCACUCCCAGUGAGGUGAGAAGACCAUUGUGCUGUUGAAACUCCUAUGUUUCUUGCUGAGCUGAUCUCCCUUGGACAUUGACCUCCAGGGAGAAAUCCAGAGGAGAGUAUUGGCUCCUCAUCUUCCAUUGCCCUGAUUAGAGCCAGAUGGAGCUCUGACGACUACUGAAAAGCAGCUCUUGGGGAGUAAAACUUGUUAAAGUCCUGGAUUUGCCCAAGAGGAGAGUGAUUCAUAGGGGAUGAGAUGCUGCAAUAGAAGGGGCCAGGAAACUAAGCUGGGGGGAAAAGGAGUCUACUCCAAGGGUUUGAUUGUCUUUCUUCUUCCAUCUAGUUCCAGCUUUGCCAUCCUGUCUCUCCUGUGCUCAGCUCACUCCAUCAAGUGCCUUGCGAUCCUUUUGUGAUGAAAGGCCUGCAGGGCUGGGAGCUUGAACAAUGGGUUUGAGCAGUCGAGACACCUUAAAAAGUAUGGGAUGUGUGUGGGAGGGGGAGGGGGAUGGGAUGGUCAGGGCAGCCAGAGCAGAAGUCUGAUGGAGUGUUACCCUAGGCUGUUGAGGUAAGUCAAAUAAUAAUACCCUAGGCUGGCUGCCUCUCCCGAGGGGCUGUGUCCAGCACCCAUCACUCUAGUAUCAAAGUGCUUUGGAAGUACACUUUCCGGGCGGUUUUCUCUGACCUCGUUUAAGGAGAGUGAUGCUGAGUUCCAUCUGGGGAAGUAAAUGGUUCCUUUAUUCCCGUGACCGCUUGUGGCCUGCUGGUUCCAUGGGGUUGUAGGGGCCCCUUGUCUGGGUUUCUUUCAGCUGUGGUGCUUAUUGCUGGCUCAGUAAGAGGCUCCGUGCCCUGCUUUGGCAGAGGGCUCCCUCACCCCAGCCGUUGCUAAUUACAUUUGAAAAAUCAAUUAAAAGUCUGAUUAAAUGCCAGUGUCUUGCAGUCUACCCUGGGGUUCGUCCCCUCCAGCUCAGGUGGGGUCUUGGGGAACUGCGCAGAGAGCACCCUGCCAGCUAUUCAGGUGCAUCUUGGUCUGAUACACGUCACUUUGUCAUGGCAAUAAUCGAAGCAGUCGCGUCACUCCUCCCCCCAGCCCUGCCAGCAGCUUUGGCCAUGCAGGGAGCAUUGCAAAGCUCUGAAAAAUCCCCGUCCCUGAUGGAAAAGCAGAUGGUUACUGGGUGCGAGAGGCAUUGCUGUGCUACUGUAAUCCCACAAGCCACAGACUAGUGCCUGCCUUUGCCACAUCCCUGUUUGUUUACAUCCUCACUCGGUGGGCCCAUUCGUUUCUUGAAGGGGGUGGGUGAAGAGGCUGCACUGGUGCCGUAUGUGCUGGACAAGCCCUGGCAAUUAGAAGAGCGAAAGGACAGCGAACAAUUACUCUGGCAGGAGGAGAACGAGCGCUAAGCUCAUUAAGGGGUUGGGAGGUCAUCUGCCCUGUUGCAGCCGGAGAAGGGGCCAUUUCAGUUGCUGGUGACAUUGUGACAAUCGGGUCUCUGUCUUGGAAGAUUUUUCUGUUUCCCGGAAGCGGGGGUAGCCGAUUGUAGAGUCUGACCAUGCUGGCCACGCUGAUGACCGCGCUGUUCUUCAUGGUGAGAGCGUUCGGACAGCUCAGAACCAGCCUGUUCCAUGAGGAGCCGCUGCCCUAUCUCGUGUACCAGCCCCUGCCGUGGCAGGUCCAGUAUGUGACCCAGAGCCGCCGGGACAGUGGGAAAGGUGGGAGCUCUCGGCACGGCAGCAUCUACUCGCGGAAAGGUAACAUGAUUCCUGAUUCGAGCAGCAAGAGCCAGUGCUUGUGUGACCCGACCGAGCGGGCUGCCGUCACGAUCCAGACUCACUACAGGAAAUACCAGCAGCACAAGCACGCGAAGAAAUAGACAUGGCCGGGAUCCCUUUCUUAUGUGUUUCCUUGUGAACAAGAAGUUUUUCCGUCACUGUUGUGGUGGCUCCCUGAAUCCACGCUCGCUUGCUCUCUGCUCCCUUCUCCUUAGUGCUCCCUAUGUGCAGAGAUUUAGAGACAUGUCCAUGUUUGUCAGGGUGUCUACGUUGGCCCUCAAUUGCAAGCCUUGUGGCAAGCCCAUCCCCGCAUGCCGUAGGCUCUGCUGGGGGUCUGAGCAGGGCACAGGGAGAGCAAGUGUUUGACUGGGUGGGAAUUGGAGGCCAGAGACUGACACGGAGCCCAGCUUUGAGACCUGCGGGCCCAAAUCUCGGCUUUGUGGGUGCUAAUUGGGGCUCCAGCACCCUCACGCCAUCUUCAGUGCUGGAGUGCCUGUCGGUUGGAUGUAUGUUUUUGCACACUGCUCUUUUCCCGUCUUUCUGGCCUCUCGCACCCAAGGAGGUGGGUGGGAGGGAGCAGAGAGGCCACAUCUGGCAACUCUAAGCAUCUGGGCUUGUCUGAAAUUGGCAUAGGGCAGGACACCCCUCCCUCAGUGCAGUGCAGUGCCGAGCUAGGUUCACUGUGGCCCCUCGUGAGAUAGGUGCUGGUGCCACCAUGAGCAACUAGACCUGGAAUCAGCGUAGCAGCCGUGUUAGUCUGUAUCCACAAAAAGAAAAGGAGGACUUGUGGCACCUUAGAUAAUAGUCUCUAAGGUGCCACAAGUACUCCUUCUUUUCUUUUUGUAGAUCUGGAAUUAAUCCCUCCAUGGUGACCCUGAGCUCUUGGGCCAGCUCCACCGUCUGGCCAUGUGACCGCGGUUGACUGGGCAGGAGGCAGCAGUCCCAUGUCCACGUAGUAACUAACCCAGCAUGCCGGGGCAUGUACUGCCUGCUCUGGAGCCCUUUUGGGAGCAGGUCUGUGUCCUGGAGCCCAGCAGGGGCCAGUGCUAACUCUUAGAGAGCUAGGUACUUUUAGCAGGACAAAAGCUAGAGCGAGGGGCCAGGUUACUUGGGGGAAGGGGGAGCUGGCAGCAGGGGCUGUAGGGUUUGUGGUAAGCUGGGAGGGGUCGUGGGGUCACGGGAGUGGGUUGAGCAGCUGGGAGAGGCAUAGAAAGGAGGCGCUUGCAAACGCGCGGAUGCUGACCACCACCCCUGCAAUUAACUUGAUACACGGUUGACGGAUCUUCCCUGUCUCCUUUCUCCUGUCCCGUCCCCCUAACCAAGUAGUCGUUCCCUCUGCUAAUCGCUCCCGCCCGACAUGGGGCUAGUCACGUGGCUGUUCUCUAGCUAGGCCAUAGUUGUCCAUGACAUACGGCCAGGUAAGAGACCCACUGUUUGCCUGGAGGAGUUUACGGUGUCCUCGGCAUUAGGCCAGAGCAGUGCAUGCAAUAGACUGGGGGGGGGAAUGUGGUGAUAAGCCUUCACAGUUAUAUAGGGCUAGUGACAUGUACUUCCAGGAGGUGGGGGUGGAGUUGCUAAGUCCCUGUCUCUCUGAGGGUUUUGUAAGAGGACUGUUUUUGAGGGGGAGGGGGGAAAUCCAGGGGGAGCAGGGUAAAGGUGCAAAGCCCUGGGAUGUGUAUCUGCAUUGGGUAACCCAGGAAGUGCAGUGAGAACGACACUGAGGGGUCAGGAUGGAUUGGCUGGUUACGUUAGAACAAACGUAAGGGAAUUUUAUAUGCUGGUGCGUUGCAACCCUCCAACAGCUGGAGAGACUUUGCCCUGGGAGGGUGUGGGCGGACAGGCAUGGUGACCUAUGACUUGUCUUGUGCACAGGAUAUUGCUAGUGUUGAACUAUAUUGCUCUGGCCCCUUGAGAAGGGUUCUCAGCUGCCUCCUUGCUGUAGCUGACAGUGAUUCUGUGCAGUACCCACAAUGGACUCUGGCCCUUAACCCUCCUUGAGAGCACCUGGUCCCCCAUCUCUAGCCUGCUCUUCCCCUCCCCUCCUACCCCGUGCCCCCAGUUGCAGGCUGACCUAGCUCCCUCCCACAUGGUGACAAAUGCCGCUGCACCCCCAGCUGCGUGCUCGUUAGUCAAUGCUUGUAAAGUGCUUUAAAUAUGUAAAGCCCAAAGUCAAUGCUCAGUGAGGGGGUUACUGUCUCUGGGUUCUCUCCUCUCCCCAGUAGUUAGUUCUGCGCCCUCUUUUCCUGUAUCUGCCUCUCGAACUCUGAUCUCCUAUGUACUCGUUCCAAGCCGUGGGCUAGUGACAGCUUGUUCUCCCUCUAUUAUUGCACAGCUGGUUCCAGCUCCUCUGCACAGAGGGUUGUGAAUCCAGAGCUAGUGAAAGCCUAAUAGAGUCUUUCUUUGUUGCUUGUAUUGUGGAGGCACUGUGCCAGGAUCAGGGCCUCUUGUGCUGGAUGUGGCACAAACAGCAGGUAAUGGGGAGACUAGAUUUGUGUCCUUUUUAAACUUUGAUUUUUUCACUCAAUAUUUUCUUGCACCUCCCAUGUUUUAAGGCAGGUGAAACAAUAGGGAGUUAGUUACAGCUUGGCCAGUUUGACUUGACUUGAAUUCCUUUAGGCAACUUUCUCCUCCCCUGAAAUGCUGGUUUGUAAUUUCCUACAACGAUAUGCCUGUUAUAGCAACAAUAAAUGAGGCUGGACUAGGGCUGAGCUAUUUCCCCAUCUUUCUGUAGUGGUGGAAAUGAAGCCAGACUGGAUAAAGCUGUGCAAUAGCAUGGCCUGUAGUUGCAUGGGAAAGUACAAUGGAGAAUUUGUGUUUGUUAGAAUGUAGGAUUGAGAUUUGUACCAGCUACAUGAUAAUAAAGAAGUGACACUCUAGUCUUCUGCCUUUCUUUAUUUUGCCAACCCACUUGGUCAAACAGCAGAGAGCAUUCUUGGCUCUUUCUUUCAUUUGCAGAUCCUCAGAGGAACAUGUGGUCACAGACUACAGCACUGUGCUGAUGCCAGGGGUGUUUACAGGGCCCUCCUUUUAGGACUCGUGUGUCUGCCUUGUUUCAGACUGUUCAAUUGUAGUAGAAAUGUUUUUAAAGAUUGUGAAACCGUGUUAGUGAAAUGUUAGUUUGCUUGUAAACGUUCCUGCCUUGGUCUAAUGGGGAGAACCAGAAGAUGACUAGAAACAGGCAGGUGACUGGUCUCAGUGUAAAAUCUAACCGGCACCCAGGCUGAAAUGUAUGUAUGUGAUCUGAAGAAUGAUAAUCCAUGCUGAUAACUGAGGGGCUUCUCAGUAAGGAUCGGGCACAACCUUUAUUUUAAAUCUAACCUGACUGUCUCGCUGUAGCACGUAGGGGCGGUGGGUUGUUCUUAGAGAACUUGCUGCUCGGAAAACAUUGCCAUGGUGGUGGUCUACCGGGAUAUGCGAAAACGUAACGUGUCCCGGUGGUUAGAGCACCCUGGUUUGCCCUGUGUCUGUCCCAUCCUUUGUAGAGCACACUGUGGUCUUUUCCCCAACCAGCACCUCACAGUCUGAUGGUCUCCGCUUCCUGUUUGUUAGCUAUUAAGUCUUCGCGGAUCCACCUCCUCUCAGCCCCCAACUGGGGGUUUGCUCCGUCUCUUCCUUUGGUUUGUCCUUGUAGAGACUCCCCUUUGCUCCUUCACCCCUUUCUCCAGCAUUUCCCACCUGGACUGCACAUUCUGGGUUCGUUGGUUUUUGUCUAGGUUUUUUUUUCUCUGCCCCGGCAUUUCCUAUCUGGGCCUCAUGGUUUUGGCUUGUGGGUUACUCAUAUCCCCCUGCUUGGGGGUCUGGGUCCUACACUGACCCUUCUGUGUCCUAGUUUCCUCCAGUGCGCGGCCCUUCAUAUCCUUAAAGGGAAUGGGUUCCAAUCGGUCCCCGCAACCAUGGGAUGGGGGACCUGUACCUCCUGCACAACUCGAUUGGGAUGAUGCUGCUGGAAAAGGCUUUCUUCCCCGUGUAUACGCUCCAUUCCUAGAGCAUGUACCCCUCCCAAAACCACCGUGACGUAACCAGCCUGCUCCGCAAGAACGAGUCACUGGCCUCCGAAGAAAUAAAUAACCCCAUCUCCGGUUGUCAGCCCCCCCUUACCGGAAUAGUUUUUACUCCCUGCUGAGAGCUUUCCAUCACCCCAGUCUAGCCCCAAUGUUCCCCCAGACCACGUUCCGUAUAUGAGCUGUCCCACUUGAUGCCUUUUCACCUGCGCCGCUAGCAGGUUAUAUCCUGUCUGACCAAGCGGCCUUCCUUUCGUCCUGUCUCACGCCUGCAGGUCAUACUGCUUGCGUUGGACAAGCUGCUUUUCUUUGAAAAUCUUGGAACGCUUCUCGGCCAAUUUUGACGUUGUCUCUGGUUGGUGUCUCCAGACCCUCGUGGUCUCUGGAAGGCUCUGCGUAAUACCACAGCAUCCUGGACUGCUUCCACGUCUUGCCUCAACCAGUAGUUGGCCCAAUCUGUGCAAAUGCUCUGGGCCUUACCCCAUAUGUCCACCUGGGCUGCCCUGUAUUUUUGCUAGUAUCUUUUGGCUGACACAACCCUACACGGUUCAAUAUAGCAGCAUUUAACACCUCAUCGUUCUUGGCCUGCUCUUUGCUCGAUGCCAGGUAAGCACUUGGGCUUCUCCCGACAGGUGAGGGCUAACUAUAUGCCCACAAAUCUUUACCCCAGCUCACACCAGCAGCAGUUCUUUUGAAAGUCAGUACAAAGGCACUGGGAUCCUCCCCGGGCCCAGCCCCUCUCCCCAGUGGCAGGACUUGUCAGAUUCUGUAAUACCUGCUGUUGUACGUGGAUCUGUUCCUUCAGGAACUCUGGAAGUAAAUGCCUGCCGUUUCUUUGCCUGCCAUCCCAGUGGGGCUUGGUGCUCUGCCUGCCUUUUCUUUCCAGGUUCAGCCUGUCCUCACACAGGCUGCCUCUCAAGCUUUCCUGGCUCUGUCUGGCAGAUGUGCCUGCUCCCUGCCCUGCUGCAGGCUCACAGCUACUACCGAGAAGCAAGACAAAAGGUAGGCAAGAAAGCGUAUGCCCUCGCCAUUCCUAGUGCCCCCAGCUGGCCUGACACUUGCCCUCUGGACAGCAUGGGAGGGGGGAGAGUUUCCUGCUGCUCUGUGAUGGAUUGGCUUGUGUCUCUCCAUUCCGUGCCUCCCUGCAGGCUUAGUGUCCUGGCUAAAGCUUUGCACAUCUGCCUAAAAUCCGUGGCUGUAAACUGCCACGGGCUACUGAGAAGCUAAGAGCACUAAACCCUUCUCUCAGCUAUUUGAGCUCUUCUCCCAACCCGGUCCACUCCUCGUGCAAUCCCGAGGCUUGAAUCAGAUGGAAAACUCCAACGUAUAAACAUAACUUUUAUUGCACACGGCGCUGGGUUUUUUCAUAGAAAAAGGUAUUAACACAUAAGCAUUUGCAAAUCAAAGCAACUCCUGUUGUUUUCAGAACAGUAAACAGCAUGCAAUGUCUUUGAGAAUUUGCUUUUCAAAACCACCAAUAUCAUCAGGGGAAAAAAUCGCUGAGUCUCUUUGUGCUCCUUUCAAAAUGAUGUGAAAUAUAAGAUCACACAUAUAUAUAUUUUAAAUCUGUAACAUCAAAUUCUUUGUGCCCUGGCUUCUUUUUCAGUUCUGGAGAAGAAGAAAAUAGUUUCAUUUAUACAAAAGAGUUCAUUAUGUACAAGAGUUUAUUUUAUUUCAAUAUAAAUAAUGCAGGAAACCAGCAGUUUCUUUUAAAUUGGUUUUCUAAUUUCCUACACAAGAGUGUAGGAUUUGGAGUACGCACCGGCCCCUUGUUUUUGAGAUCUCCCUAUACCGGAUGUACUCAUUUCUAGUAAAGAGUCUCUAGAGCCUCCCAUUUUGGUGUGUGUGGGCACGCGUGGCUCAGCGCUGGCGGCGGGAUCGGCGGCAGGAGCAGAAGCGGAGUUUGCCGAGACAGGCAUGGUGAGUGUUCUUUGAGGUAAAGUAGUUGUGGAGGAGCCCGGGUGGGGCAGGCCCAAAGGCUUGCUGCCUGGGUCUAGCGUCAUAUGCCUCGCUUGCGCGUGAUAAGCCCUGGCUAGGUUUCGGAUGGAGGCUUCCCUGGGUGGGACCACUGGACAAGGGUCGUGGGUGUCGGGCUUGCGGAAGAAUGCUUCUGAUGAUUUCAUGUACAAGGGAAGGUUGCAGUAAUCGCCUGCAGGGAACAAAGACAGAGGUAAGGCGCUUGAAAUGCCUAGCAGUUUCGCAUAGAGUGUGGGAAGCAAGAGUAACGACCGACCGACCGACCCCUGUGUGUGCCUGAGAACAAGCACCCGUUUGUCUUUCGCUCUUCAUAGGUCUCCUCUUUCUACACAGGCACGAGUGGCGUGUGCUUUCACGCCAGGAACCUUGCCCUGCCUUUGUGCUUUUCUUAUCAGGAUCAGAGAGGAAAGAUCCCUGUUCUUUAUGUGUGCCACGAUUUGAUACUCACUCCCUCUUUUUACAGCAUGGGUCCUUUAUCAUCCUCGGAGAAGAAUCUAACGUAUGGCUGCUCUCCCUGCCCAGUAAUGAUGAGGAGACCCUAAGGAAAUUACAAACCAUGUGAAGUUAUUUUCAGUCUGUCUUACUGUACCUUUGGGGUAGCCCCUGUGUGUUUUUAGCAGCUGUGAGAAGCCUGCUUGGAGUCUUAAAGAGAGUGUUCCAUUGCAGAAAGAGCAGGAUUGUUAUAUUUGAUGAUGUCUUCUGCGGUAACAUUUUGGGAACACUAGCUGGUGAAUCCACCCUGAUGUAAAGUAGCGUUAGCGGGAGGAAACCGAAGGUUGAGACCUGAGGGGCCUCUGCCGCUGAAAUGCAAUUGAAAUAGCGAUGGGGGAAGAAAGAUGCUGGAGUUUACUUUUGUUUGCUGGGACUGGAGUCCCGUUCCGCCCCAGGGCCUUCAUGGCUGAAGUUUGAGAGGAUCAUUUCGUUCUAGCUUCCCCCAGCCCAGCAGCGGUCGAGAGAAGGAAACCCAUGCCCCACGGGAACAUCACUGCAAAGGCAGAAGAGGGGUCUAGGACAGUAGGUGACCCUUCCUGAGACUGUCGAUCGUGAAGUAAUGCAAAUGCAGGCGGCUCUUAUACAGAUCACAGCAGAUUCAGGCCUGGUGAAUGCUAAAGGUGGAGUGAUGGUUAUAAGAUAAUGAAUUCUCUCGAGUUCAGCACCCCGAAGGCACCUAUAGCUCAGUAGCAGGUAAAACGCAAAGCUGGCCAGCGUCUCUCAGCAGCUUGGAAUGGCAUGAGCCCUAGAUGGAAAAGCAUUGCAUGGAGCUAGCAAGGCAGCAACCGCGCCCAUAGGAUCCAAAAGGUCAGUCCCUAAAUGCACAAGAUAAAGGGGAGAGUGCUGUCCUGGUGCAGGUGGGAAGCUAGUGGCUUAUCUAGCCCAGCUCCUGCCGAAUGCAGGGUUGAGUCCAUCCACUCCUAAUUAAUAAGACUUUGUGGGCUGUCAAUUGGGAUAAACCUCUGGUGGUGAGAUUCACCUGUGUCCCCACUCAGCCAAACCAAGUCAUUUGCUCUUCUAGGGUCCAAUUCCACGGGAGUAAUAUCUGUGGAGGCAGUGUUUGCAGGACUGAGCCUUUAACCUUGCCACAUCGCUGGACUGCUCUUUAGAAUUUCAGGAGUGAGGACUGAACGCAGCACCCAAUACAUAACAGCACAAGCAGUAAAUUACCAGGGACCAUCUGUGUAUAAUAAUCCUUAUAACAGACAUGUAAGGCUAGUAGGGAGAAAGGAAAGCAGGCUUCAUAAGCAUUGAUCACAGUGUGAACCUGAAGGCUCUAAGUUAGCCACUGGAAAGGAUUAUGGAGGUGUGUGCAGCCUAGAGGACAGCAACAGGGUCAGUGGCACUUGACUCUGCUUGAGAGCAGAAGCUCUGUCUAGUUGUCAUCCACGCUUCAGUUUGGCCUUAGAAGGGCCGAGAGCGUAGCGGGGUUAAACUGAUGUGACGCGUUCUGUGGUAAGCGAUCGCUUCCCUCUCCGGGCCCGUGAGCCCUUAAAAAGUGGGAGCUAGGGAUCAAACUCUUAUGUAAAAUAAGCCUUGUUUUUUGUUGUAGCUACCGCCAGAAUGAUGGAACAAAAAUGGAGGAGACGGUAGCAGCAAAUUUAGGUGAGCACUCGCCUUGCAGAUGUGGCCAGACACACACGGGCCCACACCCUGUUGGUCGACACACCAGGGCUGCUUGAAAACCAGUCCCGAGGAAGGCCGUGCGCGCGCUCUACGGGAUGACGGUGCCAUGCCGAGCGCCAGCCCUCAGGGGCUGGGACCUCAGUGGCUGUAGUAGCCACGUUGCAGCCCGACUCCUGCCUGGGUGACGGGGGCGCUCUUAGCCAUCAGAAGGAUACUUACUCUUGUUAGCUCUGUGCGGGAUGGGCACCGCCACGUUCUUGCCUCUGUCGCUGUCCUGCGGCUUGGGUGGGGAGGCGGUGAACCUGCAGAUGCCUGGCUCGGACGGGGUGCUCAUGGAGGUCAUGCUGUCUGCGUUCUCGUUGGUCCCUGUGGUCAUUUGGUCGGAAGAGCUAUCUGAGAUGAAGCACUCUGUGAUCUCGAACUUGGCGUGCUGCAAUUGCUCCUCGAGCUUGGCGUGCUCAUAGGCCCGGGCCAGCUCCUCGUAGGUGGAUGAGGCGCUCUCCGUAGACACCAUGCUGUUCCGCCCUUUGUCUGAAAACAAGGUAGGUAAUCAAUGAGAUCCGGCCCGGGGACGGGGAGGUGGCGGCACGGGUGUGGAACGCUGAGGGUAGAGCUGUUUACUGACUAAAGUUUAUUUGGAAACAACCAUAUUGAAAUGAAGCAGUCUGCCUUUUUUUUUUUUUUUUUCCCAAACGUUAUAUUUAUGUUAAUCUAAAAACUCGCACCCAAAUCACCAAACAUUAAAAUAUUUGUGUAGGGUUAGUACGUAUCCUUAUUGGUGCGUAUGUUUUGUGUCAAAAACAGGUGUGUCAAUUUGCGAAGGUAUGUAUGUUUGAAACUCUGUGUUUUGUAUUUAUUUAACCAAACAAGACGCGCAUCUUUCUGGGUAUUGUGUAUCGAAACAAAACGUCAAAGUUGGAUGUGGUGUUCUUCCUUAGCGAGCUUUUCCCUUGUGAGGGGCAAAGUCACUUAGUGGAUGGGAAUGUGUCUGUCUGUCGCACUGCCCACUGGUGCAUGCCCCAGCCACUCAUGAUACUGACUGACUGCAGAGCAGGGUGGAUAAAAGUCUAAUCUAUGAU